rnacentral:rRNA from 1 species
AGCUCCAAUAGCGUAUAUUAAAUUUGCUGCAGUUAAAAAGCUCGUAGUUGCAUUUCCGAGGCAAGGGAUUAUUCCGACCUUUGGUGGGUAUUUAAUCCUCUUGCCUCGUCCUUGAGUGGUGCUUCUUGGUAUUAAGUUAUCGAGGAGAUAGCCGCUCAUCGUUUACUGUGAGAAAAUUAGAGUGUUCAAAGCAGGCUUAUGCCGUUGAAUAUAUUAGCAUGGAAUAAUAAGAUAGGACCUCGGUACUAUUUUGUUGGUUUGAGAACCAAGGUAAUGAUGAAUAGGGACAGUUGGGGGUAUUCGUAUUCAGUUGUCAGAGGUGAAAUUCUUAGAUUUACGGAAGACGAACUACUGCGAAAGCAUUUACCAAGGAUGUUUUCA